rnacentral:rRNA from 1 species
CGGUUGAUCCUGCCGGAGGUCACCGCUAUCCCGGUCCGACUGAGCCAUGCAAGUCUGGGACUUCGGUCCCGGCGCACAGCUCAGUAACACGCGGUCAACCUAAGCUGCGGUGGGGGAUAACCUCGGGAAACUGAGGAUAAUACCCCAUAGCUGAGGGUGGCUGGAAUGCGCCCUCGGCAAAAGCUUCGGCGCCGCAGCAUGGGACCGCGGCCCAUCAGGUAGUUGGCGGGGUAACGGCCCACCAAGCCUGCGACGGGUACGGGUCGUGAGAGCGUCGGCCCGGAGUUGGGGACUGGAACAAGGCCCCAGGCCCUACGGGGCGCAGCAGGCACGAAACCUCCACAAUGCCCGAAAGGGUGAUGGGGGGACCGGGAGUGCCCUCGCUCUGCGGGGGCUUUUCCCGAGCCUAAAAAGCUCGGGGAAUAAGGGCUGGGCAAGACUGGUGCCAGCAGCCGCGGUAAUACCAGCAGCCCGAGUGGUGACCACAAUUAUUGGGCUUAAAGCGUCCGUAGCCGGGCUGGUCUGUCUCUGGUGAAAUCUUCCGGCCUAACCGGAAGGCGUGCCAGAGAUACUGCCAGCCUUGGGGCCGGGAGAGGGCAGGGGUACUCCCAGGGUAGGGGUGAAAU